rnacentral:misc_RNA from 1 species
AACCUAGCACACCUGCGGUGUGUACCUGCGGAAGGAUCAUUAUAGUAUAUGGAAUCUCCAUUCUAUAAACCCACUCUGCGUAUCUUGUAACUGUUGCUUCCAUGGGACUUGGUUCCGCCACACCGGCUUCACGGCUGGUGAGCGCCCAUGGAAGGAGAAACAAAACUCUUCUUUGAAAUGUAGUCAGUCUGAACAAGUUUUUAUAAACGUUAAAACUUUUAGCAAUGGAUCUCAGAUCGG